rnacentral:rRNA from 1 species
GACGAACGCUGGCGGCGUGCUUAACACAUGCAAGUCGAACGGUGAAGCGCCUUCCUUUUUGGUGGGUGUGGAUGAGUGGCGAACGGGUGAGUAACACGUGAGUAACCUGCCCCCUUCUUCUGGAUAACCGCAUGAAAGUGUGGCUAAUACGGGAUAUUCUGGGUCUGUCGCAUGAUGGGUCUGGGAAAGAUAUUGUUUCGGUGGGGGAUGGGCUCGCGGCCUAUCAGCUUGUUGGUGGGGUGAUGGCCUACCAAGGCGGUGACGUGUAGCCGGCCUGAGAGGGUGGACGGUCACACUGGGACUGAGACACGGCCCAGACUCCUACGGGAGGCAGCAGUGGGGAAUAGUGCACAAUGGGCGCAAGCCUGAUGCAGCGACGCCGCGUGAGGGAUGGAGGCCUGCGGGUUGUGAACCUCGUUCGCCAGUGAAGCAGGCCUGCCUCGUUUGUGGGUGGGUUGACGGUAGCUGGAUAAGAAGCGCCGGCUAACUACGUG